GUUCCGAUAAAAUUGUUUUUGCAGGAAUAGAUCGAGUACAUAUAUAAACUUUAUUUUCCAGCGUCUUGUGCGGACAGUACGUUGAUAAGUUGCAACUCAGGUUUAUGUGGUAAUGCAAAUUUAAAGGCAGUAUGUCCAAUGACUUGCGGUACAUGCCCUGCUGGUAAGUGAAACUGUUAACUAAUUAGUAUGGUACGUAUAGUGAAUCUGGACAACUACUUAAAUAAAUAUACCAUAUAUGUACGUUGUCGGAAACUAUGAAAUGUAUUUGUACAAGCUUUACAAACGAAAAACAGGCUCUCUUUUACUCUCAAGUUUAAAGUACAAAUACGUUUUAUAUUUCCGACAGUUUACAUAUUCUUUUUCAUCCUCAAAUUUACAACCGGCAUUUGUUGUAUAAUAACAAAUAGUUUUUUGUAAGAUUUUUCAUAGAUAUUGACAGAUUAAACGCAGACUGGAAAGAUUAUUCAAAAUAAACUGUUACGCGAACUAAAUAAUAAUUCAUCGCUUGCUCAAAUAUCGAAGCGGGGUAACAUUAGAAUUUAUUUGUAAAAGUUAAAAAGUAAAAACAAAGAAAACAACUAUUUGUGUAUCCUGUUGACAGAUACAUCUUCAUGAGCAUACGAUACAUAGCUGGACCAUCAAGAUGUUCGUCUAAACAUUUUUUUAAGGGUUGACUACAUUCUUUCUACUGUCAAAGAUGACCUUCAAAAAUAUUGUGAUAAGAUAUAUUUAACCAGUUGUGUCAAUCGGAUGUGCAUUCUCAAAAAUUCUAAAGAUCUACCGCUAAAUCUUAGGUCACAAUCUCUUUUGUUUUUCUAAGCUUUACACCACUAUUCCCCGUGUUUAAUUAAAGAUCGACUUCACCAUAAUCAUAAAACAGAGCGUUUUCUAUAAAAAUAGGGAUCGUAGAUAUGAUCUUUUUUACUUUGAGCUAUAUUGAUUUUUAAUUUGUGAAGAACCACACUGAUUCUAGUCUAUGAUAGACUUUUUAAUCAACAAUGUAUUUAUGAGUUUAGAGGAUUGAUAUUUCAACUGACAGAAGGUAUUCCAAUGGGUACUACUUGUGUAUCCCUUCUGGACGACUCGUUUUUGUACUCGUAUGAAGCAGAAUUAUUUCAAAGCCUCUGAAGAAAAAAAAGAAAAGCACUUAGAGUGCAAAAUUCUUUUAUUCUAAUUACAGAUGAAUUACAGGUGUCGUAUCAAUGAAUACAGAGGAUUCAUUAAUAUUCAAUGUUUCCAGAUGUGUUGUGGAUUUCGUGGUUACAUUUGAACCACGAGUUUAAAUGUUCAACAAAGUAGAAAAAAAUAUAUAUUGGCAUGUUUCUAGACUUUAGAAAAACCACGAACAAAUAUUCACGAAAAUACAAUAUUCCUCAUACCACGAAAAUUAGUAUCUGCGAAAAUCAUUCAAAUUAACCCAUAUUUCAGUCAGUACUUGUAUCUCAUUUAUGCCAGUUAAAUUAAAAUUAAGGACUGAUUCAUACCAUGAUCUUUUCAUCAAUUUUGGCAUAUUCCCGAAUAUGACUGUUGUACUGAGUGUGAAUUUGCAUUGCGAUACGACAUGUCUCGGUAUUUAAUACAUCCAACAUUCCUGUAUUUAUUUUUGAUGUUUAUGUAAUGGUUUCGGUUGGAUAAUGUGUUAUAAGUUAUGGUUUGUUGUCAAAAUAAUUAUAAAAUAACCUUCAAUUCCGUCAUUGCCAUUAUAAUUGUGCGUCACUGUUUGUGUUAUCAUAUAAUCGUCGUUGAUGAAAUAUGUCAGUUUAAGUUCUGCGCUUUGUAUGUUAUAUCGACUAUCAUAUUAUUUGUUCGUGUGUUUCCUGAUGAUAAUUUUUCUUGAGUGUGUUUGUGCUGUAUUUCUGUCUCGCAGUGUUGUCAUUUUCGCGAUAUUUUUCAGCAUAUUUACAUGUUGGUCUAUGAAACUUAAAAUAACAUUAUUUUAGUGAACAAUAGCUGAGAUGACACAGAUGUGUCAAGCAUGGUUGAGCCGUUAGAGAAAAAGGACAAGAAGUCCAAAUAACAUAAAGACAAACAAAACCUUGAGAGCUUUUUUAUAAAUUUAUGUGAAAACAAAAGAAGGACGAAAGAUACCAAAGGGACAGUCAAACUCAUAAAUCCAAAACAAACUGACAACGCCAUGGCUAAAAAUGAAAAAGACAACAAACAACAGCACAACGACACAAAUAGAAAACUAAAGAAUAAACAACACGAACCCACCAAAAAACUAGGGGUGAUCUCAGGUGCUCCGGAAGGGUAAGCAGAUCCUGCUCCACAUGCAGCACCCGUCGUGUUGCUUAUGUGAUAACAAAUCCGGUAAAUAGUCUAAUUCGUUAGGUCAUAUUCAUGAAAGGGAAGGGGAUUGUAGUUACGACGUAAGGAACAUAUCUGAUAUCAUUUGUGAAACGGUUAUUCAAUAACGGUCAACCAACUCGUGAUGGCGUCCGUAAAAUUUAAGAAGGGAUGAUUUCAACUUCACCAUUUGGAACUCUUGGUUUAAUAGCUUCCUUGAAAAUGACGAUGAGCAUGAUUGUCUUAUUAUCAACUUAGUCUCGAUUGUUUUGAACAUGUUCAAAGUUGGCCACGCUGAUUACGAUCACGCAAAACUCACGACAACCGUACUAUACUACGAACUUACUGCGAUCUGCACGAUCGCAUUAUGAUCUCCAAAAUUUUCAUGGUUUUCACAGAUCGUAGUUCGAUGGUGGCCUAGUGGGACUGCGGUAUUAGAAUGUGGUUUACUAUUUAUGUCUUCUGAUCUUUUAGUUACCGAACGUGACCUAUUCCCGAAUAUUACUGUUUUGCUCAGUGUAAAUUCGCAUUGCUAUAAGACAUGUCUCUGCAUUAGUUUUGAGCUAUGAUGGUUUUUUUUAGUAAUUCUGAUCGAAUAUUGUUUUUACAAAUUGUGUCUUGGAUGGGGAUAUGUCUCAAUUGGCACACAUGCCAUAACUUCUUAUAUCUAUAUAUCUAUAUAUGAACUUGUUCUCGUCCUGAAUAUGCAUGAAAUAUUUGCCACUGGACGUUAAGCAACCAACAAACAAUCAAUCAAUCUUAUAUCUAUAAACACUAAUUAAGGAUACCUGCAGGCGGAUACUUUGUAAGCCAGUCUUAUAAAGAUGAAAAGCGCGUCUGGCGUAUCAAAUUAUAAGCCUGGUACCUUUGAUAACUAUUUACACCACUAGGUCAAAACUAAUGGUGGAAAUUUCGAACCCGAGAGUAUCACCUGCCCAGUAGUUAUCACUUCGGUGUUGACAAUAAAUAUCAAUCAUUGGUAAUUUUUAUAAAUUUAAUGUUUGCAAAAGUAUGAGUUAAUCGAAUUACUAAGGACUUUCUUACUCCAGGAAUAGAUAAUUAUGUUAGCCGUAUUUGGCACAAGUUUUGAAAUUUUGCAAUCGGAGGACGCGUUUUAGAGCAAACAAUCGAUAUUUCUCUUUGAGCAAACUGUCUUCCUUGUCUUGUGGAGCUGUACCCUUAUUCAUUUGAGGCAGACUUCAAAUCUUUUAACUUCCAGUUUGUUUUGCUGAAUAAAUGAUGUCCUCGUAUCUUGACUUACAUCUAGAAAUUGACAAUGAGGGUCGAUUGAAAAGAAAACAAAAAUUUACGACAAAAGAGAUGAUUUCAGCUUUCCAAUUGUAAACUUUCCAUUUCUAAGUAGCAACAUGUCAGCAGCACCUGCAUACGGGUAUAGUUCUCCCAAUUGAUACGAUUUCCGUGCUUGCAUUUCCUAUCAUGAUUUCUUGAUAGAGGGUUGCUGCUCACAAGAAAGCUAUUAAACCAAGAGUUCCAAAUGGGGAAGUUGAAAUCAUCCCUUCGUAAAUUUUACGGACGCCAUCACGAGUUGGUUGACCGUUAUGGGAAUAAACGUUUCACAAAUGAUUAUCGGAUAUGUUCCUUACGUCGUAACUACAAUCUCCUUCCCUUUCAUGAAUGUGACUACCGAAUUAUACUAUUUACGGAUUUGUUAUCACAUAAAGCAACACGACGGGUGCACAUGUGGAGCAGGAUCUGCUUACCUUCCGGAGCACCUGAGAUCAUCCCUAGUUUUUUGGUGGGGUUCGUGUAGUAACUUUGUUGAACGUUUUAUGACAAAGACGGUCGAUUGAAACAAACCUAAGAAUAAAAUUGUAGAUUUCAGCAGCCUCCCAAUUUUAAAAUUUCCUUAUCUAUGAAACCAUAUUCAAGCAGCGUCUGUAUACGGAGUCUUUUCUCUUAGGUUAUCUGAUAUUGGAGAUCUUGCGUUUUCGCAUCAUAAUUCCAUCGAUAGACGAUUGCAGCUUACAAGAAAGCUGUUAAACCAUGGAUUUUAGGUGAAAUAAGCAUCCUUUCUCACGUUUCGAAAAACUAAGGACUUUCUUAUCCCAGGAAUAAAUAACCUUAGCUGUAUUUGGAACAACUUUUUGGAAUUUUGGGUCCUCAAUGCUCUUCAACUUUGUACUUCUUUGGCUUUAUAACUUUUUUUUAUCUGAGCUUCACUGAGGAGUCUUAUGUAGACGAAACACGCGUCUGACGUAUUAAAUUAUAAUCCUAGUACCUUUGAUAACCAUUUGCGUCUUACUGACGAUAUGCGAAUAGCGUAUUCCGUUAUUAAAUAUCUGUAUCACAACUUGAAUCCCGUUCUCUAAUCCCCGAUCGUGACAUCACCAAAUGAGAUAUAUAACAGAAUGUGUAUUUAUCAUGAGAAAUACGAAGGUGCGAGUAGUGAAGAUCGAUUUGAUGACACUCCCAUAGAUCUGGGAUAGUUUUGGUAGUGUCCGUGUUGAUCUUUUUUAUACUUUGAUCAGAAGUGUUUUUGUAUAUGUUCGGCUUUUCUUUUAUUUCAGGCAUGACAGUUUCUAAUUUUCUUUCCUUUUUUAAAUUCAUAUUGUUAGGGAGCAACCAUUCAACUUCAAAGUUGGGGGGUGGGGGUCGGGGCUAUGUUUUUUGGUUUGAGUCACAACAUUUUUUUGCGCAAACAAUUUUAUUUAGUUUUCAACGCAAUGAAUUAAAUUAUUUUGUUAAAAGUUUAAGACUAUAGGUAAUGGGUAAAUCUGAAUUUGGAAUAUUUGUUUGUACUCUGCAUGAACAGAAUAUAUUAUGUUUUGUUCAUCAAAUUGGGAAAAUGGAAAUCAGAAUAUUUUUUUUAUGAAAAAAGCCCCCUACCCUCCCCCCCCCCCCCCCCCAAUCCUUUUUAAAAUUGUUUGAUAUUUUUAAAUUCUGGAAAUUAAGUCACUUUUACUGAAAAUAUAUCAUAUAUUGAAUGAACUACUUUCAGCAUCAUGCAAGGACAACAGCCUUAUCCAUUGCAUUCCAACUUUAUGCGCUAUUCCUAUUUAAAAGCUGAAUGUCCACAGACAUGUGGGUCCUGCAGUAAGUACCGUAACUUUAAUUGUUUAUUGCGAAUUUUGUCAACGAUAAUUUUUGUCUCAAGAAUUCUGAAUGAAAAAAGAAGAUGUUUUUUUACUUUAAAGAAAUAAUUUUUAGUAUAUAAUAUUUUCUUUUCUAUAAUGCAGCAUGUCACAAUUUGCAACAUUCUGUGUGGUUUUUUGAAAAAAACGUGCACCUGAGCACUGUGAUUGGUUAGGUAUGCAUUGUUGUUUUAGAUACUAUAAUUAGCUUUGAGUGACAUCAAACUUUUAACAUGAGAUAAAAAAUAAUAAAAAAAAGGAAAUUUACGGUUUUGGCAAAAGUCUGCUAAUCUAUAAUUAAGGUAAUGAUUUAAAAGAUUAAAAAGGAUGCUACACCAUAGGAUAGAAAUCCAUUCAGGAACCUUUAUAGAUGUACGACUACACACUUAAUAACACAGAUGGACGACUUAACACUAAAAUCUAUGACAAACGGGAUGAUUUCAACUUCCCAAUUAUUAAUUUCCUCUUUCUCAGCAGCAGUAACAACCCCUCUGUUCAGUCGUAUGGUGUGUACUUAUCUCAAUUGAUACGUUAUGCGCAUGCAUGUUCACACUAUACUGACUUUAUAUACAGGAGUGUGCUCCUUAGGCAGAAACUGCUCUAACAGGGGCCGAAAGAUUAAAAAUUACACUUCAUGUUAUUUCUUUGUUUUCCUCUUAAAGUUGACGUGUUUCCCUUAGUUUUGAUUAGUAAACGUGAUUUGUUUUCUCUUAAUCGAUUUAUGACUUUUGAACACCGUUAUACUACUGUUGUCUUUAUUUAUAGCAAUGGCAGUUGUGAUGUUCUUUUUUUAAAAGCAUUACCAAAAUGCAUUAGAAUCUCACACACAUAAUAGCAGGUUUUCACGAUAUUUGAAACGAGCUUCUGGUAAUUACAACGUUGAGGAAAUUAUUGAACAAAUUGAUGCAUAUAUACUUAACUAAGUCGUCUAUGUAUCCUAUUCUAAAUAUAUUUUUCAUAAUGGUUGUUACAUGAUUUGGUGUAUUAACUUUUUUCUUUCAGAAUCGAUUUAUUCUUUAUACAUAGCUUCCAUUUUUGUUUUAUGUUGUCUUACAUCACAAUUUGCACUUGCGAUACUAGUAUGUGGUUGUUGUUGUGGUUGUUAAACGAGUAGGGUCAUGGUUAAGGUUAUUGCAUACGAACAAGCUGUCGUCGAAUACGGAUACGGGAAGACAACAAUUCAAUUGCAGUUUUAUUUUGAAGAUUUGAAGAAAAUACAGAAUUUUAUUUUAAAAGAAUGUCCAUAUACACGUGUUUUAUAGCAAAACUUAGACAUUCAAGUAUGUAAACAUAUUUUAAUUUUAUUUUAUCAUACGGUAAAUGUAUACAGAAUAACUUAAAGAAAGAUUUUUUUUAUCAAAUAGUCACUAAUAAACUAUUCAGCCUUCUUAUGAUUUAAUGCAUUAUUGUAUUUGUUUUUUUUUUCUUACUGAUUUGAAAAUUACUAUACAAAUUGAUUUCAAUGGAUUUUAUUUUAAUUUCAGAUUCAGGAUAAUAUAUUAAAAUCUUAUUCAUAUUGAUUUGUUAUUUUGCAAUGAUACCAUCAUCUUUAAAUACAAAUUCCACUAAAAUGGGUUAAAAGAAUAAUUGGAAAUAGCGUCUUGGAGACAACAACAAAAAUAUACUUGUUGUUCUUGUUUUAUUAUUAUAGCAACGUUUUUAGCAUACUAGUAUGUUGUCAAACACUGCAUUGCAGAGAUUAAGUAUUACAACAUAGAUCAGGCUAUCGGUAAACACUGAUGGGACACAUAUAUAAUAUGUUUCC
rnacentral:lncRNA from 1 species